CCCAUGGGCUAUGCCAACGCUGCACAGCCUGUUCCAUUGGUGCCCAGGACAGGACGGUGUGGGAGGCAGAGGUGGGUGAACCCUGUCCAGACCUGCUGUCCCUGGCAGUGUCCUGUGCACCUGGAGGUGCCUACCAGCCUGCCCUCAUAGGGACCUGGAGAGGUGACCCACUCUUCGGGCAUCUUGAAAAGAGAUUUGCUUUUGUUCCCAUCUGCACUGUGGUUUGAAGUCUGGAAGAUACUGAGAGAAGAGCUAAGUGUGAAACAGUGACAUGUCCCAGUCUUCAGAGAAAAACAUGGUCAAAGAAGCAAGUGUCUGCAAUCUCAGCCCCCUCCCACUCCCCCCUUGCUAUUAAACCUGAGGGUCUCAGAAUCCUCACAUCACUGCCUGGAAGGCAGCAGUGUUGAAGGUGUAUAUGAGCUCAAGUCACAUCCUUUCUCAAGGAGCCCAAGAGAAGUUUCAUCCCAGGGUGUAAAAAUGGAAAAUUAAAAACAGACUCAGGCGAAGUUGUUAUUCUCAGAAAAUACUGGUUAAACCUUGUGUGGAGUUGUCCCUAUUUCAACAAAGUUUUGCCAGGAAGAAUUUCACAUUUCCAGGUUUCUUUGGCCUAGCCACGCCAAAGAGGUCACACAGGAGGAGCCUGGAACCUGUAAGCCAAGUUACUCAGCUGGCACUGGUGGCAUGGAGAAGGAGCCCUAUGGCGAAGUCAUCCUUCUGAAUCAAAGAGAGCAGUAACUGGAAAACAGAAGGGUAAUGUUCCAGAGGAGCAGCUCUAAUUGAGGGUGAUGUCUUGCUUUUGU